rnacentral:rRNA from 1 species
AGCGAACGCUGGCGGCAGGCUUAACACAUGCGAGUCGAACGGGCAUAGCAAUAUGUCAGUGGCAGACGGGUGAGUAACGCGUGGGAACGUACCUUUUGGUUCGGAACAACACAGGGAAACUUGUGCUAAUACCGGAUAAGCCCUUACGGGGAAAGAUUUAUCGCCGAAAGAUCGGCCCGCGUCUGAUUAGCUAGUUGGUAGGGUAAUGGCCUACCAAGGCGACGAUCAGUAGCUGGUCUGAGAGGAUGAUCAGCCACAUUGGGACUGAGACACGGCCCAAACUCCUACGGGAGGCAGCAGUGGGGAAUAUUGGGCAAUGGGCGAAAGCCUGAUCCAGCCAUGCCGCGUGAGUGAUGAAGGCCCUAGGGUUGUAAAGCUCUUUUGUGCGGGAAGAUAAUGACGGUACCGCAAGAAUAAGCCCCGGCUAACUUCGUG